CUGCUGUAGAAGAACACUGUGUAAACUUGAGCCUCACAUUACCCAACUGGAUGCAGCCACACCCUCAGUCAUAGAAGAGAGGCUAAAGGAACAUGGCAAUAAACAAAGGACAUUACAUCUGUCUCCUGUGGAGAGUUCAAAAACUGAAUUUUGUACCAGAAUCCACAUAACUG